rnacentral:rRNA from 1 species
UACGCACUGUGCGAGCGUUAUUCGGAAUCACUGGGCUUACAGGGUGCGUAGGCGGCUUAGCAAGUCAGGGGUGAAAGCCCCCGGCUCAACCGGGGAACUGCGCUUGAAACUGCUGAGCUCGAGUCAGCUAGAGGUACACGGAACUUCCAGUGGAGCGGUGAAAUGUGUUGAUAUUGGAAGGAACACCGGAGGCGAAAGCGGUGUACUGGGGCUGGUCUGACGCUGAGGCACGAAAGCCAGGGGAGCGAACGGG